AAAAUAGAUGAUCAUCUUGAGGUGGGAUGGAAGAGGACAGAAUAUGGUAAAUGGAGUACUAAAAACAGGCUAACACUGUGUCUGUACAUGUUCUGAAACAAUGGUAAGGCUGUAAUGAGCAUUCAUCAAUGAAAGACUGCAGGAAGCGAGCUGGGAUAAUACAGAAUUACAAGUGAGAAGACAAGAAGUCCUGGACUGAAGUUCUAAAUGUCUGUCUGCUACCACCUACUUAGGGAUAUCAAGGCUUACAGGAACUGAAUUUGUAUAGGUCUUUGCAUUGGAGACCUCCUCUGUGGAGCAGCAUCUAUAGCAGCAGCUGAUCUGAGCAGAUGGAAAUUAGAAGGAAAAAGGCCACACUGGGAAACAUACAGUGGGUGCACUCUUAAAAAAGAUGUAACGUGCCUGUUGGAGUGUAAAAUUAGCCAAGGAUAACACGUAGCAGUCUGUCCUCAGUUGACAAAUACAUCUAGUUUGACUGACGGUACCAUGAGACUGAGUCCUUCAUGAAUAUAUAAUGUUAUUGAAAUUUCAGAUGUGAAUGGUAGUAGGGAAGAAGGAAAUCCCUGCCUACAUCAAAAGCUUCUAUACUUCUCCUAGCUCCAAGAUGCUGAGCUGAUAUGACAGUACGUCAGCAUAUUUUCAUCAUCCAUAUAAGAUCUUUUGUGUGAUUACACUGGUUAUAGGUGUGUAUUGAUAUUAUUAUGUGUCCUAAAAUUCAAAUAAGCAUUUUUCAGUUAUUGCUGCUUUCACAGUGUACCUGGUGUGGCUGCUGUUAACCUCUAGUCCUGUGCAUAAAUACAAGAAAAUCUGACUCAUAUUUUUAAUAAGAUUGUGCUAAAGUGCUGCUAUAAUAAAUAAUUCAAAAUGCUGGAGAAUUCACUAAGUACUGCAAGUUCUAUUUAUGUUGUGUAUGGAUCUGUUUACAUUAUGCAAAUCAAGCUAUAGUUUUCAAAUACAUUAAUCACUGAGUUUAUCCAGAUGUGAUCAGUGUAAAAAAAAAUUAACUAAUCUUAUACUCUGAGGAACACUACAGGAUAUUCUUCAAAAUUAAUUUGUAGAUGAAAGAGAGGCACUGGUGCUUGUGUGUAUAGGAGUAGUACAGAAGUUUUUUCCACAUUGUUGUGAUAGAUGAAAGGAUUGUCAUUGAAUGCAAUGUGUUCAGCUAUGUGUCUGCUCAUAGAAGUAGAUGGGAAGAAGUAGCAAAUCAUUCUGUAAUACUUGCAUACUGGAAAAAAAAGUAGCAUUCAUUUAUUUAUGUGUUUAUGUCUCUUAGCCAGUUUGGAUAACUUCAGAAAGGCUUGAGAUUUAGACAAUUCAAUUUCAAGACCAGCUUUCAAAAGGGAACCUGGCACUUUUCAUUCUCAUUUUAUUCAAUGAGAAUAGUUUGAUUUGUCAGCAAUGUCUGAAAAGCAGAUGAGCUCCAGCAUGCAGCCCAUAAAUUAUUCUGGAUAUGAUUUAUCUAUUUUCAUAUUUUCUAUUUCCUUUUGGAUUCCUUUAUUUCAGGUCUCAGAUACCACAGAAAUAAUGCUACAAACUGCAUGAUGUAGUCAUAACUCUUAAGUCUGUGUGAGCAAGAAUCAUUUAAAUUUAAUAGGAGAAAGUAUGUAAUAAGUUUAAGAUAUGUUUUAGUACUGCAGUCUAUCACAUCUCCACAUACGAAGUCAGAUUGUUCAUUUAUCUCUGUUGAUCUCUCUAUGGAUCAAAUAUUUAUUCUUACUACCUGUUUCUUGACCAAUGGAGUGAAAAUACUGUAUUCAGUCAUGUUUACUUUUGAGAUUACUAGCUCAGUUUUCCUUUUUAAGGCAGAGAUUUAUUGAAGCCAGUCCUGCUGUGUUUGCUUAGGUUUAGCAAGACAACUGUCCAUCUAAAUUGUAAAGGUGCCUGUAAUGAAUACAUAAACAAAAACACUAUAAAUAAACUGCAAAGCUGGACUUCAUCGGGUUUAUUUCCUUGGAAAUGUUUUCCAGUUUAACUCACAUGAGAUCUCCCACAAGGCUGAGGAAGUUGUGGAUGACUCAGAGCAUGCCAGUGAGUUAUCUUAUAUGUUCAUCUAGACUUCACCUAUUUGACUACCUAUGCUAUUACUGCUCAGGGGUUCCAUUUACUACUGAGUUAGAUUAGCUCUGAAAAUUAGAUUUUAGUAUAUAUCGUUCUCUUCAAAAUACUUUUCCUUUCCAUUCCUGACAGUGAUGUUUGUAAUGCCUCAGAGAGUCUGGAGUGAAUACGUGAAAUCACAGUCACCGUGUUUCAGUAACUGUACCUACACGUCAAGAGUACAGAAGACACAGGUGACAGAUGCUUUGAUGAAUACAGAGCUAUGGAGUACCCUUACAGCUACUUUAUCUACAUAGAAAUCUGCACCAUUACUUUUGUUCUAAGAGUUGGUACUAAGAGAAAUUGUUUGUUCAUAAAUUAUAUGCCCAAAUUUUGUG